UACGUAGGGUGCGAGCGUUGUCCGGAAUUAUUUGGGCGUAAAGAGCUCGUAGGCGGUUUGUCGCGUCGGGAGUGAAAUCCACUGGCUUAACUGGUGGCUUGCUUUCGAUACGGGCAGACUGGAGGUAUGCAGGGGAGAACGGAAUUCCUGGUGUAGCGGUGAAAUGCGCAGAUAUCAGGAGGAACACCGGUGGCGAAGGCGGUUCUCUGGGCAUGUCCUGACGCUGAGGAGCGAAAGUGUGGGGAGCGAACAGG
rnacentral:rRNA from 1 species